GAUGAAGAACGUAGCAAAAUGCGAUAAGUAAUGUGAAUUGCAGAAUUCAGUGAAUCAUCGAAUCUUUGAACGCACAUUGCGCCCGCCAGUAUUCUGGCGGGCAUGCCUGUUCGAGCGUCAUUUCAACCCUCAAGCACAGCUUGGUGUUGGGACUCGCGUUAAUUCGCGUUCCCCAAAUUGAUUGGCGGUCACGUCGAGCUUCCAUAGCGUAGCAGUAAAACCCUCGUUACUGGUAAUCGUCGCGGCCACGCCGUUAAACCCCAACUUCUGAAUGUUGACCUCGGAUCAGGUAGGAAUACCCGCUGAACUUAAGCAUAUCAAUAAGCGGAGGA
rnacentral:misc_RNA from 1 species